UGGGGAAUAUUGCACAAUGGGCGCAAGCCUGAUGCAGCCAUGCCGCGUGUAUGAAGAAGGCCUUCGGGUUGUAAAGUACUUUCAGUCGGGAGGAAGGUGUCAAGGUUAAUAACCUUGGCAAUUGACGUUACCGACAGAAGAAGCACCGGCUAACUCCGUGCCAGCAGCCGCGGUAAUACGGAGGGUGCAAGCGUUAAUCGGAAUUACUGGGCGUAAAGCGCACGCAGGCGGUUGAUUGAGUCAGAUGUGAAAUCCCCGGGCUUAACCCGGGAAUUGCAUCUGAUACUGGUCAGCUAGAGUCUUGUAGAGGGGGGUAGAAUUCCAUGUGUAGCGGUGAAAUGCGUAGAGAUGUGGAAGGAUACCGGUGGCGAAGGCGGCCCCCUGGACAAAGACUUACGCUCAGGUGCGAAAGCGUGGGGAGCAAACAGG
rnacentral:rRNA from 1 species